GACGAACGCUGGCGGCGUGCUUAACACAUGCGAGUCGAACGGAAAGGCCCUGCUUUUGUGGGGUGCUCGAGUGGCGAACGGGUGAGUAAAACGUGAGUAACCUGCCCUUGAAUUUGGGAUAACUUCAGGAAACUGGGGCUAAUAUCGGAUAGGAGCUACUGCUGCAUGGUGGGGGUUGGAAAGUUUCGGCGGUUGGGGAUGGACUCGCGGCUUAUCAGCUUGUUGGUGGGGUAGUGGCUUACCAAGGCUUUGACGGGUAGCCGGCCUGAGAGGGUGACCGGCCACAUUAGGACUGAGAUACGGCCCAGACUCCUACGUGAGGCAGCAGUGGGGAAUUUUGCACAAUAGGCGGAAGCCUGAUGCAGCAACGCCGCGUGCGGAAUGACGGCCUUCGGGUUGUAAACCGCUUUCGCCUGUGACGAAGCGUGAGUGACGGUAAUGAGUAAAGAAGCACCGGCUAACUACGUG
rnacentral:rRNA from 1 species